rnacentral:rRNA from 1 species
UAGGGAAUCUUCCGCAAUGGGCGAAAGCCUGACGGAGCAACGCCGCGUGAGUGAUGAAGGUCUUCGGAUCGUAAAACUCUGUUAUUAGGGAAGAACAAAUGUGUAAGUAACUAUGCACGUCUUGACGGUACCUAAUCAGAAAGCCACGGCUAACUACGUGCCAGCAGCCGCGGUAAUACGUAGGUGGCAAGCGUUAUCCGGAAUUAUUGGGCGUAAAGCGCGCGUAGGCGGUUUUUUAAGUCUGAUGUGAAAGCCCGACGGCUCAACCGUGGAGGGUCAUUGGAAACUGGAAAGCUUGAGUGCAGAAGAGGAAAGUGGAAUUCCAUGUGUAGCGGUGAAAUGCGCAGAGAUACGGAGGAACACCAGUGGCGAAGGCGACUUUCUGGUCUGUAACUGACGCUGAUGUGCGAAAGCGUGGGGAUCAAACAGGAUUAGAUACCCUGGUAGUCCACGCCGUAAACGAUGAGUGCUAAGUGUUAGGGGGUUUCCGCCCCUUAGUGCUGCAGCUAACGCAUUAAGCACUCCGCCUGGGGAGUACGACCGCAAGGUUGAAACUCAAAUGAAUUGAC